GGGGGAGGAUCAAUAUAUUCAACAGCAUCGACACUACGUCAAGUCAGUAUCUCGAACAACGGCGGAGACGUUCUGAAUACGUAUAAAAAUUUCGAUUAAAUUUAAAAGACAAUAAAUACAUCGACAAGAUGCCGGGACCAUGCUGUGAGAAAUGCAAAGAGAAAUGCCAGGACUGCAAAUGCGGCAAUAAUUGUCAAUGCUGUGAGACAAGUACCGGAGAGAAAUGUUGCUGUUGCAAGACAAACGGCAAAUGCGUUUGCACGCCCUGCAAAUGUUAAUUACAAUCUAACGUAAUGCCUAGUAACUGCAGGACGGAUAUGAUGGAUGAAAAUCGGAAAACGAAACAAUUGAACGAAUGUCGAUAACAAUUAAUUUUGUUAAUAUAUAUUCAUCUGCAGCUUACACAUAUAUAUAAAUUAGAUAUCGUAAUAGUCAUUCAUUUACAAUGAUUAUAUUACUGUUACUUUUCGAUUUGCUGGUACAUUAUAUUGUAUUUAAACAUUU